UGGCGCCGCCGCCGCCCGCCUCAGCCCAACAUGGCGAUGCACAACAAGGCGGCGCCGCCGCAGAUCCCGGACACCCGGCGGGAGCUGGCGGAGCUCGUGAAGCGGAAGCAGGAGCUGGCGGAAACACUGGCAAACUUGGAGAGACAGAUCUAUGCGUUUGAAGGGAGCUACCUGGAGGACACUCAGAUGUAUGGCAACAUUAUUCGUGGCUGGGAUCGGUAUCUGACCAACCAAAAAAACUCCAAUAGCAAAAACGAUCGAAGGAACCGGAAGUUUAAGGAGGCUGAGAGACUCUUCAGUAAAUCCUCAGUGACUUCAGCAGCUGCAGUAAGUGCAUUGGCAGGAGUUCAAGACCAGCUCAUUGAAAAGAGGGAGCCGGGAAGUGGGACGGAAAGCGAUACUUCUCCAGACUUCCACAAUCAGGAAAAUGAGCCGAGCCAGGAGGACCCUGAGGAUCUGGACGGAUCUGUGCAGGGAGUGAAGCCUCAGAAGGCUGCUUCUUCUGCUUCCUCGGGGAGUCACCACAGCAGCCAUAAAAAACGAAAGAACAAAAACCGGCACAGGUAUGUAUAUUAGGUUAGGCUGGGAAGUUUUUUUUAAAAACAGAAAAACGUGAUGGAGGAUUGAUCUGAAGUUAAACAAAAAACCACGAGCUGACUACUAGAAGAUUCGUUAGUGCAGAAGCUUCCAGGCUCUAGAGUCCUGCUUCCCUCCUCCGACCUCACAAAGAUAAAUAUCCCUCACCUGUGUGUGGCCACCCACCUCUGCUUUCCCAGACCCAGUGCCUGUGACUCUGAGUGGUUUGUUCUGAAAUGUGGUGACAAACAAGUCAUUUCUGUCAGACUGCAUCGGAUCAUUGACUGUGUCAUUUUUAGUAACAGAACUGCAGGAAGACCAAGACCUGGUUACAGUCCCAGCAAGUUGCUAACUGUGCGUUUCUCCCUUCUUGGAAUGAAUGUCUCCCCCUAGACUGGCUGGCACCAGCGUCAUCUGUGAUACCCAUCGAGAAAUGUUCUCUGCUUUUGUUUUAUGCUGAAAGUAGAACACAGGUCACAUUUCAGAGGGAGGCUGUAAAUAUCUGGCAGUUUCUUAUUUUGUUUGUGUUUUAUUAUUUUUCUAUUGUUGUUUUUACCAUCUUCUUUGGGCUUUUUGUAAUGCUGUUGUACAGCUCGUACCUUCCUGCUGACAUAUCUGAUAAUCUGUUUCGUGCUGUUGCCAAUAUUCUUAACUGAAGAUAAUCUGGUUUACCAUAAAUAAAAUGGGGAACUUGGCUCUGUUUUUUUGCAGGAGGAAGGUAAAGAGUGUUUAUUUAAUAAUUGCCUAUCUUAAAUCUUUCUGAGUUGGAAACAGUUUCAUGUUCAAGGAACAGGAAAAGCUGAAAAACAUAAGUUUAAAUCAAUCCUUUAAAAUAGAUAUUUUUAUUUUUUUGUAUAAAUAAAUUUUCACAGGCUUUGACUUCUCAUGCUUUACUUUUAAACCUGAGAUAGUUUUUUCACUUAUUUUAAAAUAAUUUAUUCAUAUCAUGCCUUAUUGAAAUUUCUUUCUCUUUCCAUCUUUUCUCUCUUUGCUGGUUUUUGCCUGAUUAAAUAUUGCUCUAAAAAUCACUAAGGCGUAUAGAAAGGCUCAGAAUUGCACCCAAAGCUGAUACCAUAUGGAGUUCUUGAGCAGAGUGAAAGACAGGAUCAAUGAGAGCCAGCGAUGCCCAACAGACUCUCUUCCGUACAGGGGUUGCUGGUCUGCGGAACUUGCUGAUAACUGUUGCCUGCCUCCAGAGCAGUGCUGACCUGCCUCAGCUGCACAUUGGAAUCACCUGGGAAGCUUAAAAAACACUGCUGCCUGGGUCCCAGCCCCAGAGACUGCCUGGGUCCCGUCUAGUUGUUGAGAUUUCCUUUCAGAGAGUCCCUGGGAUUCUGAUCAGAAGCCAAGUUGAGAAGCACUGCGUUAGGAGACUGGAUGGUUUGAUUUAAAUCCUAUGUUGUGAAUCAGUCUAGGGAUAAGAUUUGGGGCCUCACCUUUCCUUCGACUCUCUUAGUCAUAGUCCUUUACUUAUGCCCGUAUCUUUGUUAGAAAAAAAUAUGUUCCAUUUGUGAUAAUAUUCGUAGAGCUGAAUAUGGAUGGCAUCUCUUAUCAAAACAAGUCUACCUUGUCAAAUGUGCAAAAGCUUUCACUCUUCUUCUCAAAUAAAAUUUUUUUUGACUCUG